rnacentral:rRNA from 1 species
UAACUUUUUUUUAUACCUGGUUUAUUAUUAGUUAAGGUCUUUAAACCCAAAGAAUUUGGCGGUAUUUUAUUCCAUUCAGAGGAACCUAUCUCGUAAUUGAUAGUACACGAUUAACUUUACUUAAUUUAUUUGUUUGUAUAUCUCCGUUAUCAGAAAAUCUUUUUGGAGAAAAAAAUUUCUUAUUUUUUUAUUAAAUUAUAUUUCAGGUCAAGGUGCAGCUUAUAAUUAAGAGUAUGAUGGGUUACAAUAAUUUUAUUUUAUUAUGGAUUUGAUUUUGUAAUAUUUUAAUGAAGGUGGAUUUGAUAGUAAUUUAAUUUAUUAAUUAAUGUGCAGAUAGCCCGUAUG